UACGUAGGUGGCAAGCGUUAUCCGGAAUUAUUGGGCGUAAAGCGCGCGUAGGCGGUUUUUUAAGUUUGAAGUGAAAGCCCACGGCUCAACCGUUGUGGGUCUUUUGAAACUGGAAAACUUGAGUGAAGAAGAGGAAAGUGGAAUUCCGUGUGUAGCGGUGAAAUGCGCAGAGAUAUGGAGGAACACCAGUGGCGAAGGCGACUUUCUGG
rnacentral:rRNA from 1 species